UACGAGGGGGGCAAGCGGUUGUUCGGAUUUAUUGGGCGUAAAGGGUGCGUAGGCGGUUUGGCAAGUCUUGUGUGAAAUCUUCGGGCUCAACCCGAAGCCUGCAUAAGAAACUGCCGGGCUUGAGUAUGGGAGAGGUGAGUGGAAUUUCCGGUGUAGCGGUGAAAUGCGUAGAUAUCGGAAGGAACACCUGUGGCGAAAGCGGCUCACUGGACCAUAACUGACGCUGAUGCACGAAAGCUAGGGGAGCAACAGG
rnacentral:rRNA from 1 species